GAGUAUCUGUUUCGAGCAGUAUUUCUCAACCUUGACACCGCGGACAUCUCAAGCCUGACAAUUCUUUGCUGUGGGAUGUGGGGUGGAGGUUGCCCUGUGCACUGCAGGAGCGGCACCCCGGCCUGUGCACACUAGAUGCCAGAGUGCCCAGCCCCCCAGCUGUGACACCUGAAAUGUCUCCGAUGUUGUCGAAUUUCCGCUGGGUGACAGAACUGCCCCCCCGGAUAAAUGCUGGAACUGAAAGAAGACUUGACAUGUCCCAACUCCCUUUUUGAUGAACUAUCAAGGCGGUCAUCAGCGAUCAAACCAAAGAAACAACACUAAAAGAUCUCAAAGAAUCAGUUUCCAACCAGAAGCUGAUUCCACGGGACUACGCUGGACUCUGAUAUUUUCAAAGCAUUUUGCCUAGGUAUUUCUCCGUGGUGACUACAAAAAUGCCCCCCCUCACCCCAACACCCCUGCAUGCUUUCCUGAUAGCCUAGUUCCGUGACAGUUCUAGGUCUGAUAAAGACCUGUCUCAGGUCCAGGGCUAGAAUGGAAGGAUGGUUUGCAAACGUGCCAGAGCUCCAAGGGUUUGGAAACUGUAUCUCAAUCUUCUCAUGUCAGCAUUCCCACGUAACUCAGCAGACUCUCUAGCUCCACGAGGCCAGGUCCCGUGGAUAAAGCUCAGCAUUGCUGCAAAAAAAGAAGUCAGCUAAUAUACAAAGGUGAGGACUUAUGGGGUCAGUUGGUUGGCAUAGAGCUGCUGAGGAAGGAUCGUGCCUGAGCACGAACCGUGAUAGAGUCUCAGUGUCACUGAUUAUCAUGGUGGACCUUGGGCUUUCCCUGGUUCUCAUUACAUCCCUGGGCAAACAUCCUGGAUGUAGUCUGUCUCUUAGGAGAAAACUGCCCAGAUUCUUACUUCUCCAAAGAGCAGUUUAGUGUAGUGUUAAGAGCAUGGACCCUGGGGCUAAAAAUGCCCCAAUUCAAACCCAGCUCAUUACUCAUAACUCUGUACCUUAGGCAAGUGAAUUAAAAUCUCUACCUCA